AAGACCUACGCCUAUGCGCUAAAAAAAAACAGACAAACAACAAAAUCGGUAUUAUCUUAUCAGUUGCAUUCCUUCACCGAAUCACAGUCUCCUGCUUCAUCGAUCUUCUAGCACGACGGGGUCUGCGGCAGGGAUACAGAAUGAGUAGGGUCACUGCCAAAGCCGAUGGUGACGCUGCCACGUUACUGCCGCGAGUGAUCGUCUUCGAUCUCGAUGGGACUCUCUGGACCCCCGAGAUGUACCAGCUGUGGGGCGGCGCUCCCUUCAAGCCACACAAGCAGAACCCCAGCAUCAUGAUCGACAAGUCGGGCACGGAGGUGCGCCUCAUCGGCGAGUCUCGCGACGUCUUGCAGACCCUCGCGACGAACCCGAAGUGGGCAAACACAUACCUCGCCAUCUCUUCCACCUGCGACGUCCCCAGCUGGGCAAGGGAGCUACUGGGCACAUUCGAGUUCACCGACUGUGCCGGAAAGACGGUGCCCAUGCACAGCCUAUUCGGUGACCGCAUCGAGAUCUACAAGGCGAACAAGGCGAAGCAGCACGAGAUGAUUCUUCAAAAAGUGAACAGGGUCGACCCGAGCGUGUCCGAGUACGCGCAGAUGCUCUUCUUCGACAAUCAAACCGACAACGUGCACCAUGUGUCUGGCAUUGGCGUGACGUCCUACUACUGCCCCAGUGGAAUGACGAAGGGUACGUUCGAGAAAGGUCUGGAAGUGUGGCGUCGCGCGCAGCUGUCGAAGAUGUGAGGUGCGAUUGCGUAGUCGAGUGUCGGGCAUAAGAGGCCGAAGGGAGGGGGGGUGGAGAGACCAGUGCAUACAGAUCUUCUUCUCUCGCGCUCGAGUUUCUCAUCUUGCUCUCCAGUGCACCAGACCGAUGAAACUUCGGAUUAGGCGUCGCCUGUGCUUGUGCGCACAUGCGUGUGCAUCAAGGAGCAGCUCCUUUGCUGUUGUCUGCUUGACGCGCGUGCAAGGCGCUUGUUGUACGUUUCACGCUUCACGGGCCGAGAGAGUAACGGUGGAAAGGACGGGGAAAAAAAUAACCAGCUGCACACGCGCGUCGCUGUCAUGGCACGUUGAGGCGCCCAGACUUCUCGCACGACAUGCGCGAGUAUGUCUUUGCUUGCGAAAGCAGACGCGCGGGCGCCCACGCACCUCGCGCAUGUCGUGCGAGAAGUCUGGGCGCACUGCGAGUUUUGACGGGGCGACGAGAGCACAGCGCGCGGCGCUUGCAUUCGCACAUCCACUGUGAUGAGUGAACGUGUGCAGCCUUCUCGCUGCUUUCAUUCUUGCUGAGGAUAAGGCAGGUGCGAUGGUGUCGCACUUGUUGCGCCGUCCUCAUGCCCAUCUAUCAUUUCCUUAAGCCGGCGCACACGACAAGCACUCGCUCCCUAUCUCGCUCGUCAUGACGGAGCGCACUCGCCGGCGCCACCUUUUCGACUCUCACUUCCUCUCGGCUGACGUAUCGCCCUCCUUUCCAUCUCGUUUUUUUUUUUGUGUGCACCUGCACGCACGUGUCGCUUGUACCUCCUUCUCUACCGCACUCGUUUUCCAUGGCUGAAAG
rnacentral:misc_RNA from 1 species